GGAGAAGAAGAAAAUCGGCGGUGUAAACAAACCGUUAGGCUAACUGUCUGGCUGUCGGGCUAACUGUCGGUGUUUCAGCGGGAUAAACGUUAAAUAAGAAGAUGGUGGCGUUCAGCAGACGGGACCUGGACCGGAUCUACUCUGUGCUGCUGCUCUCCAUCGUGAUCUUGUCCUGGUCUUAUGUGAUCUACGCCAGUAGGAUCGCAGCUCAUUGGCUGCUGGAGGAGAGGACCGCCCUCCUGCAGCAGCACUGACAGCCCAUUGGACGGCCCGAACAGGCUGACGAACCCUCUAAACCCUCCUGAGGUUCAGACCUCUGACUUGCAGAGAGACUCGACCUGCUGGACCACGUUAACAUUAAAACCACUCAGGACUAGACUGAACCUGAACCAGGACCUGGAAAUGCUUCCAGCCCGACGGGGUCUGAAUGGGAACGACUGCACUGAGACAAGACAAGGACUUAUGGGACAGUGUCUCUCAGACUGAUAUGAAGUGUGCGCUGCACAUGUGAGCAUUUUUGAUGAUGUCCUCCGUCCAGUCCUUUGGUCUUAUCACAUUUAACCAUAGUUGUCUUUGUUUUUGUUGACGGGCAGUGGCGGCUGGUUUUGAGCCAUGACUCCUUCUAUUCUGGCUCCCAAUAACACAACAAGACAAACACAUUUUAACACUCCUAUGGAGCCUACAGCCCUGUGGGGGAGAGGCAGCUGCACCUCCAGCUGAUCACAUGAUGUCAUUGUGACAUCGACACUCUGAGAGAGGAAGAUAAUAAAAUGACUUUAGCUCUGGUGUUGCAGCAGGGACCCUUCUGUUGUGUGGUUCAUGGUGUGUAAUAUUUGUCUCCGUGUGUUUUGAUAUUAAAGAGUUUUUCCAGUU